CAUGCAAGUCGAACGGAGGCCCGAGCUUGCUAGGUGUCCUUAGUGGCGCACGGGUGAGUAACACGUGGGAACAUACCUCAUAGUACGGAAUAACUGCGGGAAACUGUAGCUAAUAGCGUAUAUUCCAGUAAUGGGAAAGAUUUAUCGCUAUGAGAUUGGCCCGCGCAAGAUUAGCUUGUUGGUGAGGUAAUGGCUCACCAAGGCUCCGAUCUUUAGCUGGUUUGAGAGGACGAUCAGCCACACUGGGACUGAGACACGGCCCAGACUCCUACGGGAGGCAGCAGUAGGGAAUAUUGGACAAUGGGGGAAACCCUGAUCCAGCAAUGCAGCGUGAGUGACGAAGGCCUUAGGGUUGUAAAACUCUUUCAUCGGUGAGGAUAAUGACAGUAGCCGAAGAAGAAGGACCGGCUAAUUCCGUGCCAGCAGCCGCGGUAAUACGGAAGGUCCUAGCGUUGUUCGGAAUUACUGGGCGUAAAGCGCAUGUAGGCGGAACAAAAAGUUAGAAGUGAAAUCCCUGGGCUCAACCUAGGAAUUGCUUUUAAAACUUUUGUUCUGGAAUUCAGGAGAGGAAAAUGGAAUUUCCAGUGUAGAGGUGAAAUU
rnacentral:rRNA from 1 species